GUUUGCGAUCAUACCUGCACUAAUGCACCGGAUCCCAUCAGAACUCCGCAGUUAAGCGUGCUUGGGCGAGAGUAGUACUAGGAUGGGUGACCCCAUGGGAAGUCCUCGUGUUGCAACCC
rnacentral:rRNA from 1 species